rnacentral:rRNA from 1 species
UGGAAGGGAUAAACGCUGAAGGCAUCUAAGCGUGAAGCCCCCCUUAAGAUGAGAUAUCCCAGUUAUAAACUGUAAGACCCCUUGAAGACUACAAGGUAGAUAGGGCAGAGGUGGAAGUGCAGUAAUGCAUGGAGCUGACUGUUACUAAUCGGUCGAGGGCUUGACCAAAA